CUAUAUGAGAGCUUUUGCAUCCCUAUUAGCUAGUUGGUGGGGUAAAAGCCCUACCCAAGGCGAUGAUAGGUAGCCGGCCUGAGAGGGUGGACGGCCACAAGGGGACUGAGAUACGGCCCUUACUCCUACGGGGAGGCAGCAGUGGGAAUAUUGGACAAUGGAGGCAACUCUGAUCCAGCAAUUCUGUGUGUGUGAAGAAGGUUUUAGGACUGUAAAACACUUUUAGUAGGGAAGAAAGAAAUUGACGGUACCUACAGAAGAAGCGACGGCUAAAUACGUGCCAGCAGCCGCGGUAAU
rnacentral:rRNA from 1 species